CCUACGGGGGGCUGCAGUGGGGAAUAUUGGACAAUGGGGGCAACCCUGAUCCAGCCAUGCCGCGUGUGUGAAGAAGGCCCUCGGGUUGUAAAGCACUUUCAGUGAGGAAGAACGCCUGGUGGUUAAUACCCAUCAGGAAAGACAUCACUCACAGAAGAAGCACCGGCUAACUCCGUGCCAGCAGCCGCGGUAAUACGGAGGGUGCGAGCGUUAAUCGGAAUUACUGGGCGUAAAGCGCGCGUAGGUGGCUUGAUAAGCCGGUUGUGAAAGCCCCGGGCUCAACCUGGGAACGGCAUCCGGAACUGUCAAGCUAGAGUGCAGGAGAGGAAGGUAGAAUUCCCGGUGUAGCGGUGAAAUGCGUAGAGAUCGGGAGGAAUACCAGUGGCGAAGGCGGCCUUCUGGACUGACACUGACACUGAGGUGCAAAAGCGUGGGUAGCAAACAGGAUUAGAUACCCGUGUAGUC
rnacentral:rRNA from 1 species